rnacentral:tRNA from 1 species
AGUGGUUGAAGUAAGGUAGGCUCCUUGCGGAGCCAAUCAGAAUGGUCUUGAAAACCGUUGUGCCGUAAGGUACCGGGGGUUCGAAUCCCCCUUGAA